UGUGCACAUGCCAUAGGAAAUGCAGAAAUGCAACUUCAUGACUGGAAUGUGGAUUUUGCGUGCUGGUGCUCUUAUAAGGGGCCGGUGAUCUGGCUGGAGCUUAUAUACAUGAGAAACACGCUCAUAGCGUCAAACCCACUCUGACGGGCUGGUGGGGACA